GUCACUCCUUCCAUGGUGGCCCUUGUUUGUCAGGGAUCAGUCCUGCAGUGAUGCAUGUUUUACUUGGGCAGCCAGCUGAAACAGCCACAAUUCAGCUACAAGACUGCCCAGACCUAGAUCAUCGUGCAACUAUACAGUUGGUCCUCGGAAGGACCAUUCGUUAAAUGAAACAAUUCAGACGUGGUUUAAAAGACACACAAGUUUGGUCACUGCUGCAAGAAUGUCCAGAUGUUGUCCCUUUGCUCUUCCCCAGAAACUCAGAAGCUGCCUGCUGUGCUCAGCAUGUGUAGGCAAACUUCAACAACUUGUAAAGUUCUGGGUUGGAUGGGAGCUUCCUUCAGCUGGCAUGAAGGUUAACAUGGUCUGUGCUGAUCAUCCAAGUUCAUCAACAUGCUUUCAAAUCCUCCGACUGCCUGGCCACUACAGUACAUUUCAGGAGUUUACUAUGGAUCUGGAAGCCUGUAUUGCAACAUGUGACACUGGGUUUGGUUUGAUCUAAAGGGAACAAUCUGUGCCACUUAUGAAUUAGUGUAAGGUUCCUAGUUUGUCAAACAUUCAUAAUGUGCUAGAUUGUAGAGUUCAAAUUUUGUUCUACAAAG